rnacentral:lncRNA from 1 species
AAACACAAACUUAAGAUAAAUUUAAUGGAAAAAACGUUUGUUACAGAAAUUAACAAUGCUUACCAGUCUUUAAACACCAUACACAUUAUUAAUAUAUAUUGUAUAUUUCCAACCAACUCCAUUCUUAGGCUCAAUUUAAGAAACACAAUUGUAACAGGUUUUAUACAAAAAAUACUUCACUUCUAAGAAAGUAGACAAACUGCACAAAAACAGUACAUGUAUAAUGUGCAUAGCAAGAUAGCUUGAAGCGUCUAUGUAUGGCUUUCUUUAAAAUAAAACUAUUGGGGAAAAAGGCCCAUUUGGGACCUAAUGUUACAGUUGACGUAUGUAAACUGUUUCACAUCUUUUAGGCACUUGCUAACAAUAGUGUUCAAUCCCUGAAAACUUUAAAUUCUUUGUUAUAUACAGAAGAGAAGCCCUGAAGUUUCCAUUCAAUCAAUGAAAAACAUCAUAACACUUGUAGUAACAAUGUAACAAAAAUUAUAUAGUAAUUUUUUAAUACAAGAACCCCAUU